CGUGAGGGAAGACGGUCCUAUGGAUUGUAAACCUCUUUUGUCGGGGAGCAAAGAGGCCACGUGUGGUCAAAAGCGAGAGUACCCGAAGAAAAAGCAUCGGCUAACUCCGUGCC
rnacentral:rRNA from 1 species